rnacentral:rRNA from 1 species
GCUAAACGCGAAGAACCUUACCAACCCUUGACAUGGGACGUAUGGACUUCAGAGAUGAGGUUCUUCAGUUCGGCUGGCGUCCACACAGGUGCUGCAUGGCUGUCGUCAGCUCGUGUCGUGAGAUGUUGGGUUAAGUCCCGCAACGAGCGCAACCCUCAUCUUCAGUUGCCAUCAUUUAGUUGGGCACUCUGAAGAAACUGCCGGUGACAAGCCGGAGGAAGGCGGGGAUGACGUCAAGUCCUCAUGGCCCUUACGGGUUGGGCUACACACGUGCUACAAUGGUGGUGACAAUGGGGAGCGAGGCCGCGAGGCCAAGCCAAUCUCAAAAAGCCAUCUCAGUUCGGAUUGCACUCUGCAACUCGAGUGCAUGAAGUUGGAAUCGCUAGUAAUCGCGCAUCAGCAUGGCGCGGUGAAUACGUUCCC